AGAGAGAGACGAUGGUUAGGUCGCUGAUUUUCUCUGGCAUUGUCUCCCGUGUAUCGGGAUUAGGUUCCGACAUCUAGUGGCUCCGAUAGCAUCAUUGACUAGUCGGCUUUUGGCUCCGACGACGCGCCUUCUUCAGAUCUCGUCACUGUGGCUUUUUGAGCGGUGUGUUUUGUUUCCGGUUUGGUUCCGGUGGAUUUCCGAUUAAAGCUUCGUCGGCGACAUGCAUGCCGGUGAAAUAUGGUGGCAAUUCAACUUUAGGGCGUGUGUCCUCUUCUCGCUAAGAGUCUAACGUGUGGAGAAGCUUGAAUGGACCGUCCAUCUCUCCUUAGGCUUUGUCUUUUUGGCUGAGCUCGUUUUUGAGCAUUUUGUUGUUUUUAAUUUCUGGGUCGUUUUGGCCUCACAUGUACUUAUUUUUGUCUAUGUUUAUUUAAUAAUACUAGAUGACAAAAAAAAAAAAAAAGACUAAACGGGGGUCUAGCGACUCUAGUCUAAAGAGACUUGACAUUAAUAAUAAAAAGCGUAGAAAAAGUAUAAAACAUUUAGUCUUUCUUCAUCUACUGGUUUCAUGACGAAUCGAAAGUCAACGAAUACAUAAAGUUUUAUCAUGGAUUCUAGUAUUCUACUACAUCAUGGACUCUAUAUAUUACACCAUCACCAUGCUGCUCUCUACAGGCGCUAUCAUAGCCUGAAGAGUUUAAACAGUCCACAAGAAGCAAACCUAUAAAACCAUACGGGCUUUUACCAAGUCUAACAAGUCACUACACAUCAAGACCCUUGCAGAUACCCUUUCGCUUCUUAUCCCACGCAAUUUUGUCAAGUAACAAAACUUAAAUUAUCGCAAGUAUGGUGAAUAUCUUUUGAGUGUGUAAGCUAACCUUAUACCUCUUAAUUAAUCCCACUGGUUUGGUUUUUGCACUAUCUUCAAAUUAACUGGUAAUUUGACAAAC